GCACGUACAUGUGCCCAUAUGGAUAAAGAAGCUUUGCUAGUUACUGUUUUUAAAGAUGUGUAUAUCUGUGAGAGAUGCAACUUCAGAGAAGCAGAUAGACAAGGCUGUAAGCAAGGAUCAGAUGUAUUUUGAACAAAUCCUGAGAGUGCAGCUUGAAGAAAAGACUGACCACAUACAAGCUGCCUUUAUGCUGAAGGAUCCCACCCCGAAGUGGCUACGCAAGAGCCAUUACUCAAAGGCAAGCAUAUUGUCAGUCAGAGCUUCCAUGUCAGCCUCCUUGGGAAGGAAGGAGCAGCAACAGAUACACUGAAAAGACCCUUCUUUUCUGUGUUGCAUGGAUGAGAAGACAUUAUGGAUUCAUACACGAUUUCUAUAUCCCAGGAGAACUGCAAAGUGACUUUCUUCUUUCUCUGUGAGACUUUCUCAUGAAACAACAAUGUGAGACAAAGAACGGGUGACUCAAAAUUUUUAUGUACAUCCCUUCCUUUGUCCUUAAAAAGAACCUUGAAAAAUAUUGAGUUUUUUUCUAAAAGCUUAGGGUCCGCAUGAAGAAUGAAUCUUGUUUCUCAAUGUAAUAUAGAAAAUUGUUUUCCAACAGCAUGGGUUGGACUAACAAGACUAAUUCCUAAAAACCCUGUACUGCACAUAUGUUUGGUCCACCCCCUUUGUUGCAAUAUUACAAGACAUGGCGAUGCAAAAAAGUUGGAUAUAUCUGGAAUAUAAGCAGUUGCUUAUUUGUUUUUAAUUCCUUACUCUGCUUCCUUCUAACACCUCUUGCUUUAAACAUUUAUACAUCAUGAGAAUAAUAUAUUCUG